CACGGGGGUGGCAAGCGUUGUCCGGAAUUACUAGGCGUAAAGGGCAGGUAGGCGGAUCCGUAAGUCGGACGUUUAAUCCUCAGUCUUAAGCUGAGACAUGCGUUUGAUACUGUGGAUCUAGAAUGCGGCGGGGGAAGACGGAAUUCCGGGUGUAGCGGUGGAAUGCGCAGAUAUCCGGAGGAACACCGAAGGCGAAGGCAGUCUUCCAUACCGUAAUUGACGCUGAACUGCGAAGGUGUGGGGAUCAAACAGGAUUAGAUACCCUGGUAGUCCGCACAGUAAACGUUAGACACUGGGUGUUGGGGGAGAAGAAUCCUUCAGUGCCGCAGCUAACGCGCUAAGUGUCUCGCCUGGGGAGUACGAUCGCAAGGUUGAA
rnacentral:rRNA from 1 species